GGGCUCGUGGUCUAGUUGGCUAUGACGUCGCCUUCACACGGCGGAGGUCCUGAGUUCGAAUCUCAGCGGGCCCA
rnacentral:tRNA from 2 species